UUUUUUUUUUCACAGUUUAUUGUAUGAGGACACAGUCCUUCACGUUCUUGUUUGUAAUAAAACUGGACAUACACUUUAAAGCAUGAUAAAUAAUACAGCACAGGUGAUACUAAAACAUAACAUAUUGGAAGUUUUUCAUCUCUGUUAUUAUUAACCUAGAACUAACAACUUCAUAAUGCCAGUGAAUCAACAGAGACUUUUUCAUUCAUAGAUGAGUAUUAGGGAAUGCCAGGCAUUCAUUCAUUAAAUGCAUUUUACUUUAGCUUAGUAUCUAAAAUAUGAAUAAUGAAAACAUUGUAAAAUAUACAUUUUCUGAAUUGUAACAAUCAACUUUUUAGUUAAAUAUCUAACUUCUAUUUUUGUAGUUUUGUUUUGUAGAGUCUUGACAUAAUACUAUGUAAUACAAGAGAUGAAUAGUGAAUACAGUCAUCAACACUCACAUUCAUCCUUUAUGAAAAGUAACC